rnacentral:rRNA from 1 species
CUGGGCUUGACAUGUGCCUGACCGGCCUGGAAACAGGUCUUCCCUUCGGGGCAGGUUCACAGGUGGUGCAUGGCUGUCGUCAGCUCGUGUCGUGAGAUGUUGGGUUAAGUCCCGCAACGAGCGCAACCCCCGUCGCAUGUUGCCAGCAUUUAGUUGGGGACUCAUGCGAGACUGCCGGUGACAAACCGGAGGAAGGUGGGGAUGACGUCAAGUCAUCAUGCCCCUUAUGUCCAGGGCUACACACGUGCUACAUUGGCGUAUACAGAGGGCUGCGAUACCGCGAGGUGGAGCGAAUCCCUUAAAGUACGUCUCGGUUCGGAUUGUAGGCUGAAACCCGCCUACAUGAAGGUGGAGUUGCUAGUAAUCGCGGAUCAGCACUGCCGCGGUGAAUACGUUCCC